UGGGGAAUUUUGGACAAUGGGCGAAAGCCUGAUCCAGCAAUGCCGCGUGUGUGAAGAAGGCCUUCGGGUUGUAAAGCACUUUUGUCCGGAAAGAAAUCCUUGGCUCUAAUACAGUCGGGGGAUGACGGUACCGGAAGAAUAAGCACCGGCUAACUACGUGCCAGCAGCCGCGGUAAUACGUAGGGUGCAAGCGUUAAUCGGAAUUACUGGGCGUAAAGCGUGCGCAGGCGGUUUGCUAAGACCGAUGUGAAAUCCCCGGGCUCAACCUGGGAACUGCAUUGGUGACUGGCAGGCUAGAGUAUGGCAGAGGGGGGUAGAAUUCCACGUGUAGCAGUGAAAUGCGUAGAGAUGUGGAGGAAUACCGAUGGCGAAGGCAGCCCCCUGGGCCAAUACUGACGCUCAUGCACGAAAGCGUGGGGAGCAAACAGAAUUAGAUACCCUGGUAGUCCACGCCCUAAACGAUGUCAACUAGUUGUUGGGGAUUCAUUUCCUUAGUAACGUAGCUAACGCGUGAAGUUGACCGCCUGGGGAGUACGGUCGCAAGAUUAAAACUCAAAUGAAUUGACGGGGUCAUAGCUGUUUCCU
rnacentral:rRNA from 1 species